GAUGAACGCUGGCGGCGUGCCUAAUACAUGCAAGUCGAACGAAACUUCUUUAUCACCGAGUGCUUGCACUCACCGAUAAAGAGUUGAGUGGCGAACGGGUGAGUAACACGUGGGCAACCUGCCCAAAAGAGGGGGAUAACACUUGGAAACAGGUGCUAAUACCGCAUAACCAUAGUUACCGCAUGGUAACUAUGUAAAAGGUGGCUAUACUACCGCUUUUGGAUGGGCCCGCGGCGCAUUAGCUAGUUGGUCGGGUAAAGGCUUACCAAGGCAAUGAUGCGUAGCCGAAUUGAGAGGUUGAUCGGCCACAUUGGGACUGAGACACGGCCCAAACUCCUACGGGAGGCAGCAGUAGGGAAUCUUCCACAAUGGGCGAAAGCCUGAUGGAGCAACGCCGCGUGGGUGAAGAAGGUCUUCGGAUCGUAAAACCCUGUUGUUAGAGAAGAAAGUGCGUGAGAGUAACUGUUCACGUUUCGACGGUAUCUAACCGGAAAGCCACGGCUAACUACGUG
rnacentral:rRNA from 1 species